AUGAACGCCGAAGACAGCAGGUGCCGCAAGGCAUAAGGAUUAAAACGCCUGCCGAGGAAGUAUAUUCGAAUGAUUGAUUUUGGAUAUUUAUGUACUCUUUUGUCAACGGACAGAAGAGUUUUUUCAUUU
rnacentral:sRNA from 1 species